GAUGAACGCUGGCGGCGUGCCUAACACAUGCAAGUCGAGCGGAGAAUUGUUGCUUGCAACAAUUCUUAGCGGCGGACGGGUGAGUAACACGUGGGUAACCUGCCCUAAACAAAGGGAUAACAAUUAGAAAUCAUUGCUAAUACCGUAUAAGCUUACACUAUCGCAUGAUAGAGUAAGAAAAGAUUUAUCGGUUUAGGAGGGGCCCGCGUCUGAUUAGCUAGUUGGAGAGGUAACGGCUCACCAAGGCGACGCUCAGUAGCCGACCUGAGAGGGUGAUCGGCCACAUUGGGACUGAGACACGGCCCAAACUCCUACGGGAGGCAGCAGGGGGGAAUAUUGCAGAAUGGAGGAAACGCUGAUGCAGCAACGCCGCGUGAAGGAAGAAGGUUUUCGGAUCGUAAACUUCUAUCUACAGGGAAGAAAAAAAUGACGGUACCUGAGUAAGAAGCCCCGGCUAACUACGUG
rnacentral:rRNA from 1 species